AACGAACGCUGGCGGCAUGCCUAACACAUGCAAGUCGAACGAGACCUUCGGGCCUAGUGGCGCACGGGUGCGUAACGCGUGGGAACCUGCCCUUAGGUUCGGAAUAACUCCCCGAAAGGGGUGCUAAUACCGGAUAAUGUCUUAGGACCAAAGAUUUAUCGCCUUUGGAUGGGCCCGCGUUGGAUUAGCUAGUUGGUAGGGUAAAAGCCUAUCAAGGCGACGAUCCAUAGCUGGUCUGAGAGGAUGAUCAGCCACACUGGGACUGAGACACGGCCCAGACUCCUACGGGAGGCAGCAGUGGGGAAUAUUGGACAAUGGGCGAAAGCCUGAUCCAGCAAUGCCGCGUGAGUGAUGAAGGCCUUAGGGUUGUAAAGCUCUUUUACCCGGGAUGAUAAUGACAGUACCGGGAGAAUAAGCUCCGGCUAACUCCGUG
rnacentral:rRNA from 1 species